rnacentral:tRNA from 1 species
GCCUGGCUGGCUCACUUGGUAGAGCAUGUGACUCUUGAUCUUGGGGUCGUGAGUUCAAUUCUCACGUUGGGCG